rnacentral:tRNA from 1 species
GUAACGGAAGCUAAUAACUAUAGCGUUGGUCUUGUAAGUCGAAGAAAGAGCUAAACAGCUCCCGUUGCU